rnacentral:tRNA from 1 species
UAGGAUAAUAGUUAAAAAUAACAUUUGAUUUGCAUUCAAAAAUUAUUAUUUAUAAUUUAAUUUAUCUUAU